AACGAACGCUGGCGGCAGGCCUAACACAUGCAAGUCGAGCGCUGUAGCAAUACAGAGCGGCGCACGGGAGAGUAAUACAUGGGAAACCUACCUUUUGGUUCGGAAUAACGUCGGGAAACUGACGCUAAUACCGGAUAAGCCCUUCGGGGGAAAGUUUUCGUCCGAUAGAUGGGCCCGAUGUUGGAUUAGUCUAGUUGGUGAGGUAACGGCUCACCAAGGCUACGAUCCAUAGCUGGUCNGAGAGGAUGAUCAGCCUCACUGGGACUGAGACACGGCCCAGACUCCUACGGGAGGCAGCAGUGGGGAAUAUUGGACAAUGGGGGAAACCCGUGAUCCAGCCAUGCCGCGUGAGUGAUGAAGCUCUUCGGAGUGUAAACCUCUGUGCCCGGACGAAUAGCGGAUUAUUCCGACUUGACGGUACCGGGCGAGGAAGCACC
rnacentral:rRNA from 1 species